UACAGAGGUCUCAAGCGUUGUUCGGAUUCAUUGGGCGUAAAGGGUGCGUAGUCGGAUUUGCAAGUCGGGUGUGAAAUCCCCGGGCUCAACCUGGGAACUGCAUCCGAGACUGCAUUGCUAGAGUAUGGGAGAGGGAAGCGGAAUUUCUGGUGUAGCAGUGAAAUGCGUAGAUAUCAGAAGGAACACCGGUGGUGUAGACGGCUAUCUGGACCGUAACUGACGCUGAGGCACGAAAGCGUGGGUAGCAAACAGG
rnacentral:rRNA from 1 species